AACGAACGCUGGCGGCAUGCCUAACACAUGCAAGUCGAACGAACCCUUCGGGGUUAGUGGCGCACGGGUGCGUAACGCGUGGGAAUCUGCCCUUGGGUUCGGAAUAACAGUUAGAAAUGACUGCUAAUACCGGAUGAUGUCUUCGGACCAAAGAUUUAUCGCCCAGGGAUGAGCCCGCGUAGGAUUAGGUAGUUGGUGGGGUAAAGGCCUACCAAGCCGACGAUCCUUAGCUGGUCUGAGAGGAUGAUCAGCCACACUGGGACUGAGACACGGCCCAGACUCCUACGGGAGGCAGCAGUGGGGAAUAUUGGACAAUGGGCGCAAGCCUGAUCCAGCAAUGCCGCGUGAGUGAUGAAGGCCUUCGGGUCGUAAAGCUCUUUUACCCGGGAUGAUAAUGACAGUACCGGGAGAAUAAGCUCCGGCUAACUCCGUGCCAGCAGCCGCGGUAAU
rnacentral:rRNA from 1 species